CUCGAUUCGGUGUGCGCGCUGCUGCCCGCCUCAGUUUUCAGGGGAGACCCACUUCCGGCCCUCCCCUCCUGCGUUCCAAUCACCGAUUCCAGAGGAUCCUACGUUUCCAUGAGUGGAUGGAUUAAUUAUAAUUGGAGGAGAUAAUCGGAUAGAGAAAUAUGUUAUAUAUUAUAUAAACGUGUAAUUGUUUCAACAUUUUCGAUCAUCUUCUCAAUUUUGUGGAUAGAUUUCGAAGAAGAAUGGUAAAAGGUAUGAUGUAGACGGAUAUUUAGAAUUUUUCUGUUGUCCAAUGAUAUAAAAAUUAAUAUUCUUUUAAACAGUAAUGAUUACGCUAAUGAUUACACAAAGUUAAAACAACAAAACUAUUUAUUCAUUUCGAAUAACAAAUACUUCUAUUUUCCUAUAAAGAAACAGUGAAAGAAAAUUUCAUUAAAAAUUCAUCGGUAUGUUAAAGACCCUCGUAAAAUUUUAUUUUUCAAAGCUAUUCCUUCUUCGUAGUUUCGUCUCUUUUUUUUCCCCCUUUCGGAGGGACUCUAUUUCAGCUCUAAGAGGGAUUCACUUAUAGAAAAUUAUACAUAUAUAUUUUUUACACAAAUCAGAUUUCAUCAAAGUUUCUUUUCCUCGGAAACGCGGUAAAAUUGGAAUCGCUCGCCAUUGAAAGUUUCGCGCCAAAUGCCUUCCCUCGUUAUUUGCUGAGUCGAUCGAUUAGAUCGUGCGUGGGCAAUCGAAGGACAAAUCGACCGAUGUUCAGAGCACGGUGAAAUCGAAAGUAUUCGCGUAUUUUCAUCGUCCAUCGAUCGUUAUUCUACUUGCACGAGCAAAAUGUUGCGUAUCGAAGAUGUAAUUUUAGAAACAGUUUCACCUUACUAAAAAAACGAGGCGACGACACGAUCAAUGACAAUUGCGACCAUCUUUCUUCUCCUCGCAGAAACUUUUUCUUCUUUUUCUUCUUCUUCUUUUUUUUACGAACCAAUUAGCACACAAUUGUUCGAGCUGUAUCGUCAUGGACACACACCAGUCGUAUGCAACAGCUUGUUAAAUUCAUUUGAAAUUCGUUACACGUUCAUCCCAUUUUUGUAUGCGCGCUGAAAGAGAUAUUUUCAUUUUUGAAUGGAGACAGCUCAAUUAUUCAAGUGUAUUUUCUUCUUUUUUUUUUUAUAUAUAUAUUAUCAUAUUUCCAUUGAUAAUCAUAAUGAUCUCUGCGCCACAAUCAUCAGACAAAAUCAGUUGAAGAUUGUCUGAAGAAUAAACAAACGAAUAGCGUAAGAGGACACAAUUUCAGAUGUGUCCUCAUUUCUCAAGCUCCUCCAAUUGCAUUGCCAGACUUGUAUUUUUUUCUUUAUUCUUUGCGAGAGAUGCAGCGGAUAGGAUCUUAAGAAAUCAGGAUGAUUCGUACACGAAUGAUUAUCUUAUAGUUCGAAUAUUUCGAAUUGGAAGAAUUUUUUACUCGCGAAAUAAUUUUCCUUUCUUGUACAAAUCGAACAAGUCAUACUUUUUUUUUUAAAUUUUUAACAAGUUCCUUGUUCCUUGAAGAGAAAGCUUUAGUGGGUCAGGGUGACGACAUAUCGCAAGACGGGUCUGCGACGAGGGAAGAACAGGAACCUCCAGUUCGUGCGAGUCAUCGUGCAGCAAUCGCAGGAUUCGAAUUCGAAUACAAUGUUGCAUGUUUGUGUGGAAAUUUUUAUUUAAUUAUUCAAAUUCUUAUUCCUCCCUUUUAUAUAUGUCGUCCUUUGAUGUGAUAAAAGUAAUUUCAUGGUAUUAAAUAUCAAUUCUGAUGUGACAAUUAUAUCUUUAUCGCGACGAGACUAAAUAUAUGAAAUUUUUCUAUUACAAAUUAUUAAAGCAAUAAUCUAGAAUUUAUAACAAGUCAAGUGUGCUAAGCGAAGACUUAACAUCGAUAAGAAUUAAACGGUCUGCAGAUGUUGAAACAUCACAACGCAGAUAUCGACUCGAGUGAUGGGUUUGAGUUAAUUGUUCAAACAAAUCUGGAAGUAGUAUACCUAACGUUUUAUGGAUCAUUAACAAAUACUCUUGCUAUAUCCUUACUAUACAUCGAUACUCACAUUUUUUUCUAAGUAUGAAUGGCGAAUAGCUGUGACGGCAUUACUCUCUUUCGCAUCGAAAUAAAAAGUCAUCCAUUAUCUCCUUCCUUUGAUUUAGUUUUAGAUCAAAAUUGCGGGAUGUUGCUUAUCCUUUCACCAUUAAAAAUACCUCGAUUUCUCCACGGUGAAUUUCUAUAGAAGGAGAAUGACGUCACAUUAUUUCCACU
rnacentral:lncRNA from 1 species